UUCCUCAGCACGGCUAUGCUAACAGAAUCACCUUUAUCCACAUAGACAGGUGUCAGCGUCAGCAGUUGGGCUGCCAGUGGAACAGGCUGUGUCUGCAAGCCAUGCUGUGCCAAAGAGUCCCGAUCUUCAUGAAGGAACGUACGAGUGUGUGGAAACGCCAUACCUGAAUUACAUCAUCAGCUUUCGGCCAGUUCAUGGCUGAGAAGAGCACUCCUGAAUGGACACCAUGCUGGAGGUCACUGACGAUGCUGAUGGAGAAAAAUAUGAAGGUUUUCAAACAG